rnacentral:rRNA from 1 species
ACACAGGUGGUCGGGUAGAGAAUACCAAGGCGCUUGAGAGAACUCGGGUGAAGGAACUAGGCAAAAUGGUACCGUAACUUCGGGAGAAGGUACGCUCUUGAUGGUGAAGUCCCUUGCGGAUGGAGCUGACGAGAGUCGCAGAUACCAGGUGGCUGCAACUGUUUAUUAAAAACACAGCACUGUGCAAAAUCGUAAGAUGACGUAUACGGUGUGACGCCUGCCCGGUGCCGGAAGGUUAAUUG